CCCUGGUUAGGGUUGAGUGGUAGAAUGCUUGCCUAGCAUGUAGUAGGUCCUGGUUUGAACCCAGGACUGGGGG
rnacentral:tRNA from 1 species